GGAAUUACAUAGAGACUGUAUUGCAUAUUUUUUCUCUUUUUCUAAUACAUCUUUAUGUAAAUCUAAUUUCUCCAUGGGUUGUUAAAAAUGUCUAGGAAAAAUGUUAUCAAUAAUUGAAGCAUGCAAUUAUAUUUUCUAUUAAAAACAAACAAAUUUAAAAAAAACCUCCAAACUUUUGAAUGCUUUUUGUAAAUGAUAUAAAAAAAUCCUAUGAGGGUAAUUUUCUCAAUUUAGAUAUUGAAUAUGCAUGAAAAUACAGUAAAAGUAGGACUACUCAUGUUUGUUAGUAGGAAGGGUUUUCUGGCUAAAAUAAAUUAAUGCAAACAUGAAAAAUAUGCAGCUAAUCCAUAAAUAGUUCUUAAAGACAAGCCUUGCAGUACAGUAAUGCACAUUAAUCAGGGGUUAGUCAAAAGAAUUAGGAAUUCAGUGAAUCCUAUAUGGUCUUAUUAAUGAAUCUGUUGAUUACCGUUCAGGAUCAUGAGAAAUUCUCUGAAUUAAUAAUGAUUUAAAAUGUUUACCCAGAAUAAAUAGCUAAAACACAGAAUUGACCAUCAAAUUAACUUUAAUGUCUGUCUUUUAAGUUUCUUCUCCAUAUCAACUACAGCUGAAGAGAGAGUGAAGUUAUAACACUGAACUAUAAAAUAAUCAAGAACUAAUUAACAAUUCCUCUGGUAGGUCUGCUGUGCUACAGGUAUCACAAAAUUAAAAAUGAAGAAAAUGUGUUCACAGGUAGGAUUUUCCCCUGGCAAAUAUAAUGUGUAACUUAUAUUCUUGUGGGAAAGGUAAAUUUGUAAAUCUUUGAAGGAAAAAAAUAAUAAUAAAUAAUAUUAAAUUAUUUAACACAGCAACAAAUGAGCUUUCUAUAACUUAUAAGCAAAUAUUAAUAUCUAAAAUUAAAGAGAACUGGGGAGAGUGGAAGCCACUAAAGCAGCAAACACUUUUCUCAAAUUACUCAAGUAGCUGCCACAUUAAUUUUUUCAUUACUUUAAUUCUCAGCUCCUCGGAUCCUGCAGUUCAGGUGGACUCUACAACUGUAUUUGCACUCCCCAGGUGACAUAUCAUGUCCAGUAAACAAAAUAUAGAAAUAUCCUGUGGGUCAAUAAUAAUAUCAGGCUCAGAAAAAUUUAUUUUGAAACUGAAAUUCUGUAAGGAAAAGCUCCUGUGCAUUUCUUAUUCUCCUUAUCAGUUAUUUCUACCCAUACCUUUUAAUAUUAUGUUCUUUGAUUUGAAAAUGUCAUGAAAAUCACAGGCAUUUAUAGUCUCAUGAAGAAAAAAAUAAAAGAAUGAGAACAUAGACAAAGCUUUUUAGUAUCAAAUGUCUUAACUGCCAGGUCCCCUUUUUCCUGAAGGCAAGAAUGAGGGAGAAAUAUUAGCACGGACUAACAUUUUUAUUGAUGGUUAACAGCAAGCAUGAGAAAGGAAGCUUCAAAGAGCUUGCCAGGAGUCCACAGGCAUUGUAAUGUAUCAGAAAUUUGUCAUCUGUCAUCAAAUUUAUCAGCUGGCUACUGUAACAUCUUUAGACCAGCUAUAAAGGGUGCCAUUAGUCCCUACUGCUAACACUAUCCUCAAGGAUCCCGGUGUUUCGCAGAAGAAAGGUUUGUAGCAACUUUUCAUAUGUAUGAAAACAUGCUCAGCAUUAUUAAUUGGUCCUGAGACAAGCAGUAUGUUUGCUGUAUACAAUUGAGCAAAAAGCCUUACUCAGUGCAAAGCUUUCAUCCAAUUAUCUACCAGUAAAAGCAGACAAGCUGAUUGAAAGGAGGAGGUGAUAUAUAACAACACAAUUUUCCUUGCACAAAGCGAUAUUUUUAGCUUUUGCAAUUUGUACUGAAACUCAUUAUUCUUCUCCAUUAUGGAUAAAGGGGAAACUUUGUAAGUGCCCAAGUCUGUGACUUCUCUAAUUUUAAAUCUAGCUCAAAUGACUGUUUUCCACAGGGAGAUGACUAAAUGAUAUACAGCCACUCACCAGGCAUUUGUCUCCUGUUCACAUUUAGGGAAAGCUAUCAAGAAUUAAACUUUGUGCAGCCAUUACACUGGUAAGGAUAUUAAAGGUAGGACUGUGCUACAUUAGAUACAACAUAAUGAAGGAUGUUGCAUUGCAGUCAGUCUAGAAUUGAUGUCACAGGACGAGUGUCUUUGUCUCAAACACAGAGAGCUACAAACCAUAAUUAGGUACCUGCUCUCUGUUGAAUAUUUCUUGGCACAACAUAAUCACUUGCCAUCCCUUUAGCCUCCUUUUGAGAAUCCAAACAGGCUGAUUUUUUUUAUUCUUUUGAAUAACAGCAGGAUUUUAUUGAACUGCCUGGACAUACCUGUGAAAAAAAUGGUCUAAAAAUGUUGCUCUGAUUCUUAAGUUUUUCUAAAGCCUUCUGAGUUUACAUACUGUUGGAAAACUUUCCCACACAAUUUCUGUAAAAAACAUAUUGUUUUGCAUUCCUUCAUGGGGGUGGAGAAACUUGAUGUACUAGUGGUUUGUCCAAUGUCUUUGGAGAGGUGGCCCAUUCACUCUCCAAUCCACUGUCACCUUUGGAAAAGUAUAAAAGUUGGAGUCAGAAAAUAAACUUUCUCUUUUACCUUGCAAAAUAGCAGGUAACUCGCGUUGUGCUUUCACGUGUCCUAUAGCAACAUAACAAUAUUCACAAUAUGCACACAGAUGAGAAAAUUAUACUAGCAGCUGCUGGAAACAUGUGAAACCAUUUUAAAAGCAUAAGAAUUAUUUUUUUUUUUUAAGUUAAAACUAAAAGUAACAAAGAAAGUAACAGUUUUGACUGCAGCACUUUUCAGAGAAUAAUCCCCUCGAGCAACAUGGCCACAGAGGAUAAAGAAAUAUCUAAUCCAAGUUUACACAGAAACCAAGUCCAGUACCUGAUUUUUAGUUCAGUGAACUCUUUGCUAUUUGUGCAUGAAGAAAAUUUGCAGGCCUCGCUUAGAAGCAAAAAAUAUUAGAGGUCUUCCUCCAUGUAUACCUUUAUGUUCCUUCAUGUCCCUUCAGUAAAGCCACUAUUUCUCUCUCAAGUUUCUCAUUCCAAUGUAAAAUGAACUGAGGUAUAUCUGUUAUUCAACUGCAAAACCAAAAAUAUUUCUGUGUGGAGUUUACUAAGGGAAAAAAUAAGCUUGGUGCUUUCUCUUCUCUAGCUUUUUCUAUAUUUCAGGGUUGAGACAAUUCAGAACAAACAUAUACAGACAAAGGUUAGUAGCACACACAAAACACAUUAAUUAAUUAUCAGAAAGAAAAUAAAUCAACAAACGUAUAAGUCACACUAUAAGAAAACUGCAGAAAAAUCUUUAGAAACCAAAAAAUUCCCAUUAGAAACUAGAAAUUGUUUUAGGAAGGAACAGAACUACCUAUCUUCUUUCUCCAGGGUAAGAGCAUUAAGAUCCAAAGUUGUAAUUGAAAUUUGCAACUUUGGAUGCUUGGCUUGUAAGUGUGAAUUUGAAAUGUGUUUUCCACUGAGUCUAGAUGGGGUCUUUACAGGCUCUUUUUUGUGACACAUGUUCAAUGCUAACAGCAUUAUUUGAUCAUUUUGUGGGAAUAUUGGCACUCAAAUAGUUUCUCCUGGUUCUCUACAUAAUUAGACCAUAUAUACAUAAAAACCUCCCCAAAACACUGAAUAGCAGGAAAAAAUCUAAGACUGUGUAUCUUUUUUUGCAGAGAUAGAACUGAAAUUCCCUGCAUAGGUAGACAGUGGUCACCUAGUGACUGAAAUCCACGUGACGGGGACCAACAACUCUACCUCUGAAAUUGCAGGAUGUAGUUUAUAGUUUUGCAAGCCAGAUAUUCACCAUUCUUUACUUCUAUUUUAAAAAAUCCAAAACACUGAGUUAUGAAAUGAAAAUUUUGUUUAGGUUAUUGUACAGUUCCAGGAAGCAGUUAGUGGGAAAACCCAAAUCCCUUUUGGCUUUCUCUCCCUUUUCUCAGUCCAUUGGCAAUGUUAAACUCAAAAAGAGCUUUGCAACACUUGUCACUCCAGCAGUGACAGCUCUGGCCACAGUCACACUGAGGGGAGUGACUGGAGUAAUGACUUGCUUCUAUCCAAGUUCUUUGCUCAUCCUCAAAACACAGUCAGCUAAAUGCAGAUAUGAAAUAUUUAAAACUGUUGAGAACUUCAUAGUAAUUUUAUACCACAUAUGCAAGUUCUCCAGCAGGAGUUUGUGGUCAUCUGAAAGCUGUAAGUGACUUGAAUACUAUGGCAUUAUGUUAAAUAUUUAUGUUAAAGGUCAUCUUAACCUAUUAUAACAGAGUGACUUAAAUGUAGUAGAAGAAAUAAAGAAUCCAGAACAGUAUAAGUUCAAGAUUUUAACAAAAUCUACGACACAUUAUUAUUAUUAUUAUUAUUAUUGUUGUUGUUGUUGUUGUUGUUGUUGUUGUUGUUGUUGUUGUUGUUGUUGUUGUUAUAAAUAAGUUGCUCAAAGCAUUGCCAUUUAGAAGGAUGUAUUAUUUUAAUAUGCAUUUAAAAAAUUGCGACUUAAAAAUUCUGUGUUGAGCAAGUAUGCUUGAUAAGAUACUUGCAUGAGGAGAUGGAGAAGUGGCACACCAGAUCCACCCAUAUCAACUUCAUUUAGUAUUUCCAGUGUUUUUACCACCAAAAAGAAAGAAGCCUUUGCAGAAUGCUGAAAAUCAGUGGCAGUACUUAGGGUUUUUUUUUCUAUUUCAUAGUGUAUAUUAUUAUUCUAGUCCUUCCUAAAGCACCAUAAAACUUCUACUUGCCAUUUUAUUAAGGUUGAUUUAAAAAGGGAAAAAAAAAAAAAAAA
rnacentral:lncRNA from 1 species